CGCGUAUCCAACCUUCCCGCAAGUAAGGGAUAACCCGUAGAAAUGCGGCCUAAUACCUUAUGUUUUCCUUAGAGGGCAUCUGAUGAGGAACAAAGAUCCGUCGCUUGCAGAUGGGGAUGCGUCUGAUUAGUUAGUCGGCGGGGUAACGGCCCACCGAGACGACGAUCAGUAGGGGUUCUGAGAGGAAAAGUCCCCCCACAUUGGAACUGAGACACGGUCCAAACUCCUACGGGAGGCAGCAGUGAGGAAUAUUGGUCAAUGGGCGGAAGCCUGAACCAGCCAAGUAGCGUGCAGGACGACGGCCCUAUGGGUUGUAAACUGCUUUUAUGCGGGGAUAAAGUGGGCCACGCGUGGCCUUUUGCAGGUACCGCAUGAAUAAGGACCGGCUAAUUCCGUG
rnacentral:rRNA from 1 species